rnacentral:lncRNA from 1 species
CAGGCUCCGCGCAGGGCUCGCCAGGCGGGCAGGCGCACGGGGGACACCUGCGAGCCUGGAGGUGGCGGAGGGUGCGAACCCGGCGGCGCGGCCAAACCUGCGCUGGCUGCCUGGGCCUCCUGGGCCAGGAGCUGGCACUGGGGGCGGCGGCGGUGUGGGAAAGUGGCGCCGCGGUGGGGCCUCCUGGAUGUGUCGGCGGAGGUGGCUUCAGUCCCGCGGAGCCCAGGCUUCAGGCUUUCACCAAUUCUCGGGAUGCCCAUAGGGAUGGGUGAAGCCCGCCUGGCCUGUGGUGCUCCCCAGUGGCCGUCAUCUCACUAG